rnacentral:rRNA from 1 species
GCUUAUCACCAUUCCAGAUUGAAUAUACCCGAUCUCGUCUGAUCUCGGAAGUCAAGCAAUCUCGGGCUUGGUUAGUACUUGGAUGGGUGACCGCUUG